rnacentral:rRNA from 1 species
UACGUAGGGGGGCAAGCGUUUGUCCGGAAUCAUUGGGCGUAAGAGAGCGCUGUGAGCGGCCCUGUAAGUCCGCUGUGAAAGUCAAGGGCUCAACCCUUGAAUGCCGGUGGAUACUGCAGGGCUAGAGUCCGGAAGAGGCGAGUGGAAUUCCUGGUGUAGCGGUGAAAUGCGCAGAUAUCAGGAGGAACACCGAUGGCGAAGGCAGCUCGCUGGGCCAUUCCUGACGCUGAGACGCGAAAGCUAGGGGAGCGAACAGG